UAAUAUGUAAACAGAGCAAGAUUUCCAUGUCUACAAAAUGAGAUAAAAUUUCCUGCCUCGCAGGGUCAGUUUGAAAAUUAAGAUUAGGAGAACCCCUGGAACAACAUAAGGCACAGAAAUUACUCAUUUGAGAAAGGAGGUGAGGUGAAGGAGCAUCCAGAUUACAUAAGGGAUCCUCCAGGUCAAGGUACAUCAAGCAAGUCCAAAGAAUGAACUAGGGAGAAAAGAAAAACAAGAUGACUGGCUUCCAAAGCAUUGAGCACAUUCAAGAAGGCUGAGUACAGACAGUGCUCAUUCAGAGGUUCAGUUUGGUCAGGGUUGGGUGCGAAAGGGGGCACGUGGCAGGAAGCCAGUCACUGAUGUCCACUCAGCCCACCCUGAGCCAGCACUGUCCUCAGAGUGGUAGGGAGUUAGGUCCAAACCAGAGGAAACCUCAGAGAUGAGAGACUCCAUUUCCUCCUUUUCUUGGAUAGAGCAACUGGCCUUUUUACAAAAGCAAAUAAUUAAAAGUACCAUUUGGAUGGCAUGUCACACAAGACCCUCCACACUAGCCUGCAUAAUUCCUAUGACACUCUCAUGGAACAUGGCCAUCCUCACUGUAAAAGCAAAGAAAUAAAGGUUCUGCAACAUUAAGUCA